rnacentral:rRNA from 1 species
GGAGUCUAACGCGCGCGCGAGCGAGAGGGCGAGAGGCCCAUCCGCGCAACGAAAGCGAAUGGCGGGACGCUCUCCCGCAGGGGGCGGCGCCGCCGGCCGGACGUCCUCGAGGCGGACCGAGCCGGAGCGCUCGCGUCGGGACCCGAAAGGUGGUGAUCUAUCCGUGCGCGCGGCGAAGCCGGGGGAAACCCCGGUGGAGGCCCGUCGACGGUACUGACGUGCAAAUCGUUCGUCCGACGUGCGAAUAGGGGCGAAAGACCAAUCGAACCUCCUAGUAGCUGGUUUCCGCCGAAAUUUUCCCCUCAGGAUAGCGGCCAUCGCGGAAACGUUUUGACCGGUAGAGCGAACGACUAGAGGUACCGGGGCCGUAACGGCCUCGACCUAUUCUCGAACUCCGAACGGGCAAGGAGCCGGGGUCGCCCGAUCGGACCCCGGACGUGAAGUCGACGAUGGUCGGUGGGCUGGUUUUGGUAAGCAGAACGGGCGAUUCGGGAUGAACCGGAAGCGGG